AACGCACCUUGCGCCCCUUGGCUAUUCCGAGGGGCAUGCCUGUUUGAGUAUCAUGAACACCUCAACUCUCCCGGUUUGCCGUGAUGAGCUUGGACUUUUGGGGGUUUUGCUGGCCUACGGUCGGCUCCUCUGAAACGGAUCAGCUUGCCAGUGUUUGGCGGCGUCACGGGUGUGAUAACUAUCUACGCUUGUGAUUGCUUGCUGAGCAACCUCUGGAGACGGAGGUUCGCUGGAGCUUAUAAAUGUCUCUCCUCAGCGAAGACAGCUUUUUGACCGUUCGAUCUCAAAUCAGGUAGGACUACCCGCUGAACUUAA
rnacentral:misc_RNA from 1 species